AUAAGUGCACCUAUGCAUAAGAACAUGUCAUUGUUUGCUGAGCCACAGGUGUUAUGCACUGUUAGCUGGUGUGAAAACUCCAGGAGUGUGACUUCACUGGCUGUGGGGACAGCAUUGCCAGCAAUGUUAGCGAGGAAGGCCACUUAUUCCAGAGGUGCUGGCACAUUCAGGCAUACUUGCCUUGUCCAGGUUCAGACUCUCCUCCAAGAAGCUAUCAACAUCUUCCAGGUUGCUUAUAAGAAAAUGCUGAAAUGGAAGGCAACAUGAACUAAGACUCCGGACAUCAUUAGGAAUAUCUUGCCUUCUGCUUGGAUAAUUAUGGGAUUUAGCCCAUAAAAACAAUACAACAAUUCUGGCCUUCUUCACAAUAUCAAAAGAAAAGGAACAGAAUGAAAAAUCC